rnacentral:misc_RNA from 1 species
GAUGAAGAACGCAGCGAAUUGCGAUACGUAAUGUGAAUUGCAGAUUUUCAGUGAAUCAUCGAAUCUUUGAACGCACCUUGCGCCUUUUGGUAUUCCGAAAGGCACACCUGUUUGAGCGUCAUGAAUACCUCAAUCUCCAUCUUUUCUUCGGAUUGAUGGGUGACUUGGAUGUUGAGCCCUGCUGGUAUGCUAUAUCAGCUGGCUUUAAACUUAUUAGCCGGCUCUGUACUGGAUCGGUUUGACUCGACGUGAUAAUAUUAUCGUUGAGGAUGCAUGUCUCAUGCAGCCGGAAAGUAUCAAAGCAGCUUCUAGCUUGCCUUUAGUGCACUUUUACAUUUUAGACCUCAGAUCAGGUGGGACUACCCGCUGAACUUAAGCAUAUCAAUAAGCGGAGGA